UGUAGCGCAAAUGACUUUGGG
rnacentral:piRNA from 1 species